rnacentral:rRNA from 1 species
AACUCGGCAAAAUGACCCCGUAACUUCGGGAGAAGGGGUGCUCUGUUAGGGUGCAAGCCCGAGAGAGCCGCAGUGAAUAGGCCCAGGCGACUGUUUAGCAAAAACACAGGUCUCUGCGAAGCCGUAAGGCGAAGUAUAGGGGCUGACGCCUGCCCGGUGCUGGAAGGUUAAGAGGAGCGCUUAGCGUAAGCGAAGGUGCGAAUUGAAGCCCCAGUAAACGGCGGCCGUAACAAUAACGGUCCUAAGGUAGCGAAAUUCCUUGUCGGGUAAGUUCCGACCCGCACGAAAGGCGCAACGAUCUGGGCACUGUCUCAACGAGAGACUCGGUGAAAUUAUAGUACCUGUGAAGAUGCAGGUUACCCGCGACAGGACGGAAAGACCCCGUGGAGCUUUACUGCAGCCUGAUAUUGAAUGUUGGUACAGCUUGUACAGGAUAGGUAGGAGCCUUGGAAACCGGAGCGCCAGCUUCGGUGGAGGCAUCGGUGGGAUACUACCCUGGCUGUAUUGACCUUCUAACCCGCCGCCCUUAUCGGGCGGGGAGACAGUGUCAGGUGGGCAGUUUGACUGGGGCGGUCGCCUCCUAAAAGGUAACGGAGGCGCCCAAAGGUUCCCUCAGAAUGGUUGGAAAUCAUUCGCAGAGUGUAAAGGCACAAGGGAGCUUGACUGCGAGACCUACAAGUCGAGCAGGGACGAAAGUCGGGCUUAGUGAUCCGGUGGUUCCGCAUGGAAGGGCCAUCGCUCAACGGAUAAAAGCUACCCCGGGGAUAACAGGCUUAUCUCCCCCAAGAGUCCACAUCGACGGGGAGGUUUGGCACCUCGAUGUCGGCUCAUCGCAUCCUGGGGCUGUAGUCGGUCCCAAGGGUUGGGCUGUUCGCCCAUUAAAGCGGUACGCGAGCUGGGUUCAGAACGUCGUGAGACAGUUCGGUCCCUAUCCGUCGCGGGCGCAGGAAAUUUGAGAGGAGCUGUCCUUAGUACGAGAGGACCGGGAUGGACGCACCGCUGGUGUACCAGUUGUUCUGCCAAGGGCAUCGCUGGGUAGCUAUGUGCGGACGGGAUAAGUGCUGAAAGCAUCUAAGCAUGAAGCCCCCCUCAAGAUGAGAUUUCCCAUUCCGCAAGGAAGUAAGAUCCCUGAAAGAUGAUCAGGUUGAUAGGUCUGAGGUGGAAGUGUGGCGACACAUGGAGCUGACAGAUACUAAUCGAUCGAGGACCUAAUC